ensembl:lncRNA
AACACACUGCACUACAGUACAGCUCUCAGAUACAUCCACAAGCAGUGUUCCCUGUUGUCCUGAAGUCAUUCAGCUAAAGAGGCCAGGCGUGUUAGCGGCUGCCUCCCUCCCAAAGAACAACUCUCCCGUCUCCCGGCACUCAGCAGCCCUACAGAACAGGAAGGGUUCCUACCCCUCUAUGCUCACCCUGCACCCGGGUACAGGUGGCCAUUCCAGUGGGCCCUCUAAAGUUAUAUCCUCGGAUGAGAACAUCACCACAGAGCGUGACAUCAUCGACCUGGACCCCCGCAGCCCC